rnacentral:rRNA from 1 species
AUUGAACGCUGGCGGCAUACCUUACACAUGCAAGUCGAACGGCAGCACGGGAGCAAUCCUGGUGGCGAGUGGCGAACGGGUGAGUAAUAUAUCGGAACGUGCCCGGUCGUGGGGGAUAACGUAGCGAAAGCUACGCUAAUACCGCAUACGAUCUACGGAUGAAAGCGGGGAUCGCAAGACCUCGCGCGAUUGGAGCGGCCGAUAUCAGAUUAGGUAGUUGGUGAGGUAAAGGCUCACCAAGCCGACGAUCUGUAGCUGGUCUGAGAGGACGACCAGCCACACUGGGACUGAGACACGGCCCAGACUCCUACGGGAGGCAGCAGUGGGGGAAUUUUGGACAAUGGGCGCAAGCCUGAUCCAGCAAUGCCGCGUGCAGGAUGAAGGCCUCGGUUGG